UGUUUUAUGUUUUGCGUGCUUCUACGAAAGACGGUGAGACGACGGCACCGCCUCAUUUGUCGAGUCAAAACCUCGGUCAAAACAUUCAAAGUGUCGAUCGUAAUUCACCUCGGGUGCCAUCGUUUCUGUUCGCCCGCCAACAAGGUACCCAGGUGAGUAGCUGAUCUUGUCCCAGUGCGAUGGAACAUAUUCCCGACUCUGACGGCAUGCGCCAUUUGGUGUGACAGAGUCGGGAGUGUUGAGAUCGUGGAUUUUAAUUUCCCCAUCCAUGGAUCCGCUGAUGAUGGAAUCACCUGGAACAUCGCAGUAGUCCUUCGUCUCCCCAGUAACAUUCUAAACAGGUUGAUUCCAUGUCGUUCAGAAACGAAUAUGCAGUUGGCUCAGCAUCUUUUGUCGCCCAUGUCACAUCGUGCCGGAUGUCAUUACUACUCUGAGCAACAGGACAGCCCCGGCCUGACAAAGCACGCCAAUUCUCAAGUUUGGCAAUAAAGUUGUGAAAGCAAAACCUAUGGCCUCUUCUGCUUGUGGUACGACUCCUAUUUAAAUCCAAAUUUAAAAUCCCCACUUCACCCCAUCGAGUGAUGCCAGUCCUGCAACCUUUUAGAGAACAUGGUAACCAGAGCAUUCACUGGGCUCCAUCAGACGAUUUCCUGGUGGCCUUAAGAGAUGGAGUUUUAUUGGAACUUUUAUUAUCGAGUCAACGAGGGCUACAAGAAAAUUGAGAUUUGGAACAACGACUUCGACAUGGGAGACCCCGGAGACCCAUUCCGUCAUGUUAUCUGGAAUAGCACAGGUGAUUCCAUCAUCAGAGGAUCUAUGGGUGGUGAAAUGCAAAACCACGAUCUUAACACUCCCGACUCUUUCACAUCAAAUGGCGCAUGUCGUCAGAGUCGGGAAUAUAUUUCAUCGCAAUGGGACAAGAUCAUCUACUUACCUGUGCCUCCUCAACUGAAGGGGUCGGGGUUUACGACCUCCGCCAAACGGGUGGGUCCACUAAACCCAUUUUAUCAUUGCAUCAGAAUCUCGCCGCUUAUAGCCUCUCCUGCAAUUACCGGCAAUUAAUAUUUUCAGAAACCCCGGAGACGAAAAUCCCGUCAGAGUCAUGAAUUGGUGUCCCUGGAAACUCCAUGUUCUCUUUACCAGCACAAGUUAUCCAGAGUCGAGCAUCCGCCUUCACAAUGCAACGACGGGUGGGUUGAUUGACGACUUUGAAUGCGCAUCAGAAGUGUCGGGGAUCCAAUUCAACGUCGAGCUGGACCAAGUUGCCACUUCACAUAAUGAUUUUUUAAGAGUAGAUGCUACGAGACAUGUGGGGGACUUUCUAAAGCAAUCAAAUUUAAAAGCCAAGACACUGAUUAACUUUUUUCUUUUCGUCGUAGUCAAUUUUAUGCAUUCAACCUUAUCCGCUAGUCCUACAUAUUCAAUUUCUUCAACAAUAUUUUAAUGAAUUUUAAUCAUUUUAUUAUGUAAUUUUUUUAAUAUAUUGUUUUGUAAAUAAAAAAAACAGCUGCGGUAGUUAUUUAAACAAAA
rnacentral:misc_RNA from 1 species